CCCUUAGAUGUUCUGGGCCGCACACGCGCUACACUGAAGGAGGCAGCGUGUACUCCUGGAUCGAAAGAUUUGGGUAACCCGCGAAUCUCCUUCGUGCUAGGGAUUGAGGUUUGCAAUUAUCCUUCAUGAACGAGGAAUUCCCAGUAAGUGCAAGUCAUAAGCUUGCGCUGACUACGUCCCUGCCCUUUGUACACACCGCCCGUCGCUACUACCGAUUGAAUGAUUUAGUGAGGACUUCGGACUGGGACCGAUGCGGCUUUCGGGCUGCGUCCGUAUUCUGGAAAGAUGUCCAAACUGUAUCAUUUAGAGGAAGUAAAAGUCGUANCA
rnacentral:rRNA from 1 species